CAAUAGCGUAUAUUAACGUUGUUGCAGUUAAAAAGCUCGUAGUUGGAUCUCUGGAGGGAGCGUCGGCCCGUAUUUACGAGUGCGUGACGUCUCUGUCCAUCCUUGCGGGAAGGCACGGCAUUGAUUUGUUGUGUCGGAUCGCAUCAUUUACUGUGAAAAAAUUAGAGUGUUCAAAGCAGGCUUUCGCUUGAAUACAUUAGCAUGGAAUAAUAAGAUAGGACUUUGGUGCUAUUUUGUUGGUUGAGCCUAAGGUAAUGAUUAAUAGGGAUAGUUGGGGGCACCUGUAUUGCGUUGUCAGAGGUGAAAUUCUUGGAUUUACGCAAGACAAACAGCUGCGAAAGCGUCUGCCAAGGAUGUUUUCAUUAA
rnacentral:rRNA from 1 species